rnacentral:rRNA from 1 species
AUUGAACGCUGGCGGCAGGCCUAACACAUGCAAGUCGAACGGUAACAGGAAACAGCUUGCUGUUUCGCUGACGAGUGGCGGACGGGUGAGUAAUGUCUGGGAAACUGCCUGAUGGAGGGGGAUAACUACUGGAAACGGUAGCUAAUACCGCAUAACGUCGCAAGACCAAAGAGGGGGACCUUCGGGCCUCUUGCCAUCGGAUGUGCCCAGAUGGGAUUAGCUAGUAGGUGGGGUAACGGCUCACCUAGGCGACGAUCCCUAGCUGGUCUGAGAGGAUGACGAGCCACACUGGAACGGAGACACGGUCCAGACUCCUACGGGAGGCAGCAGUGGGGAAUAUUGCACAAUGGGCGCAAGCCAGAUGCAGCCAUGCGGCGUGUAUGAAGAAGGCCUUCGGGUUGUAAAGUACUUUCAGCGGGGAGGAAGGGAGUAAAGUUAAUACCUUUGCUCAUUGACGUUACCCGCAGAAGAAGCACCGGCUAACUCCGUGCCAGCCGCCGCCGUAA